rnacentral:rRNA from 1 species
GCAUAUCAAUAAGCGGAGGAAAAGAAACCAACAGGGAUUGCCCUAGUAACGGCGAGUGAAGCGGCAAUAGCUCAAAUUUGAAAUCUGGCGUCUUCGGCGUCCGAGUUGUAAUUUGUAGAGGAUGCUUCUGGGUAGCCACCGGUCUAAGUUCCUUGGAACAGGACGUCAUAGAGGGUGAGAAUCCCGUAUGCGACCGGACAGGCACCCUCCACGUAGCUCCUUCGACGAGUCGAGUUGUUUGGGAAUGCAGCUCUAAAUGGGAGGUAAAUUUCUUCUAAAGCUAAAUACUGGCCAGAGACCGAUAGCGCACAAGUAGAGUGAUCGAAAGAUGAAAAGCACUUUGGAAAGAGAGUUAAAAAGCACGUGAAAUUGUUGAAAGGGAAGCGUUUGCAACCAGACUUGCUCGCGGUGUUCCGCCGGUCUUCUGACCGGUUCACUCGCCGCGUUGCAGGCCAGCAUCGUCUGGGGCCGCCGGAUAAGACUUUGGGAAUGUAGCUCCUCUCGGGGAGUGUUAUAGCCCAUUGUGAUGCGGCGCGUCCCGGGCGAGGUCCGCGCUUCGGCUAGGAUGCUGGCGUAAUGGUUGUAAACGGCCCGUCUUGAAACACGGACCAAGGAGUCUAACAUCUAUGCGAGUGUUCGGGUGUCAAACCCCUACGCGUAAUGAAAGUGAACGGAGGUGGGAACUUUAUUGUGCACCAUCGACCGAUCCUGAUGUCUUCGGAUGGAUUUGAGUAAGAGCAUAGCUGUUGGGACCCGAAAGAUGGUGAACUAUGCCUGAAUAGGGUGAAGCCAGAGGAAACUCUGGUGGAGGCUCGCAGCGGUUCUGACGUGCAAAUCGAUCGUCAAAUUUGGGUAUAGGGGCGAAAGACUAAUCGAACCAUCUAGUAGCUGGUUCCUGCCGAA